rnacentral:lncRNA from 1 species
UUUUUUUUUUUUGUCUUUUUGUAUUUUCUAGGGCCACUCCUGCGACAUAUGGAGGUUCCCAGGCUAGGGGUCGAAUCGGAGCUGUAGAUGCCGAUCUUCGCCAGAGCCACAGCAACGCAGGAUCCGAGCCAUGUCUGCAACCUACACCACAGCUCACGGCAAGGCAGGAUCCUUAACCCACUGAGCAAGGCCAGGGAUCGAACCCGCAACCUCAUGGUUCCAAGUCGGAUUCAUUAACCGCUGAGCCAUGAUGGCAACUCCCCAUUAAACAUUUUUAAAAGUCAAGUUUCUUCCCAUGGACUGUGAGGCUACCUUCCCCAGGUCCAGCUCCAUCUCUCUCAUCAUCCCUCCUGCCACACAGGCCUCUUCCCAGUGCCUCAUCCUCACCAGCUCAGUUCAAUCAAGAAUCCUGUACUUGCUGCUCCAGCUCCUCUUUCCUAAUAACCCCACCUCCUUCAGCAUCCAGGUGAGACAGCACUCCACCAGGCUGUCCCAAGCACCCUCAGUCAAAAUUAGGUCUCAGUGCAGCACCAGGUCCUUCCUGUCAGCCCCUCCUCCCAGGUGUGGUCUGACAUCCGUUUGUGUCAGUGUUUGAGUGAUUAUUCAGUGACCUGCACCCCCACGAGACCGUAAGCUCCAUGAGGGAGGCAGCCACUCUUACCUUUCCCGACCACCAAACCCUUAGCAGCAAGGACUAGUAGGCAGCUAACACAAUUCUUGAAUAAAUAAACAUACAUGUACAUACAUACAUAACAGUUCUCCUCCAAGACUCUGGACAAAAAUGCCAAGAAAACAAGUGAACUCACAUUCCCUGGGCAGGAAGAAGAACUGAGUGACAGCAACAGUGCCUCGAUACUGGGAAAGGUUACUGAGAGAAGCUGAGUGGACGCAAGGUAAAAACAACGUCAAGAAAGGAUCAUCCCUUCAAAACAGGACAGCAGGCCAAUGUGUCCGGUGACCUUGCAUGAGCCCUGCCAUUCCCACACAUUCCAUCCUGGCAGUCUGACUGUUCAGCAUCAUGGCCACAGCCCCAACCUAGUCUGGAAGUAUUUCUGCUCCAAUUGCAAGUUCAAUCAACAGCUUUUAUACCUACUCUUUGUGGUGCCUUUUAACUCCCAAGAAGAAUAUGAAUUCUUUUGUUUUCUAGGCAGCAAAACACAGAAAAUAACUAUAAUGAAGCACCAGCCUGGCAAAUGCUGGUUUCCCAGAUGUCAAGAGCCAGAAGGAGUUGGUUGCCCUGCCCAAAGCCUACCAGAGGAAAGGGCAAAAGCCCCCAUAAAAGGAACGAAUUUCAAAGAUCCUCUCUCUCACCUACACAUCAAAGGAGUUUCAUUGAAUUGUUGGCAGGAACUUCCCGGAAAAGGAGUUUAUCCCCGUUUGUUCAUCUCACAAAGGAAUUGUGUGAAUCUUAUUUGACCCCUGUUUUUCCAAUCUAGGGUAUGCAUUUAGCUAGCUUGGAAAAUGUUUUAGGGCUUACAUAGAAAUUUGUAAAAUGUCAGCGUGAAAAUUUUAAUUGAGUUAUUAGCAAUAUCUCUUCUUUGAAUGACCUUUUAGUACUCCUUAUAACAUAUCACCUCCUUUUACUACCUUCUGGCUGACAGUUUCUAAUAUAUUCCUUCUUCUUAGAUGAUAUCAUCUGUCCUUGGGUGGAAUUAACUAAAGCACUCUACAUUCAGAAGCUGACAUUAAUCCAUAGCCCCAGAUUUGUAACAGCUGCUGGUAUACACACUGUUUCCAUACACUGGGUUUUCACAAUGACUCGAAGAAAUGCAUACUACUCAUUGGACACCAAUGACAUGCAAACAAAGGAACCAGACUGACAAACAGCAAUGACUUUAAAAAGAAAUUUUAAUUGGCUUAAAAAUAUCUAUUGCACAUAUCUAAGGGGCUAUCGCUAGCUUCAUGGAAUUUUCACCUUUCUCUGAGGAAUCACAUGUGGAGAAGCAGCUAACCAAAAUAAGAAUUAUAAGGAUGAAUGGCAAAUAACCUGUUUAUUCACAUAACUUUCUGAUACUCAAUAAGGGAAACAGAAAAAAAAAAAAUACAGUCCCAUGUUCUCUGUAACCCAGACAUUUUGCAUCAUUCCCAGAAAUGGAAAAAGUAAAUCAACAUGGCAUGUGGAUACCAAAAGGCACAUUCAGAGCUGAGAAUCACCAAACAGGGGAAAGAUAAAUAAAACCCCUCUCCCCAAAAUCCCCAACUCCCGUGGUUUCUCAUAACAACCUCAAGGCAUCCAAACCCCACGCCCUGAUGUGAAAAUGGCCAAUGAAGGGAUGGGGGGGCUACAAGUCUCCUGUGUGUGCUCCAGGUCUCCUGCCCUGGACUCUACAUCCUGCUGGAAACAGGCUCUUCCACAUCAAUGCAGCAGCAGCAGGGACACCCAUAGGGACCCCAACAGCAUUUCCUUCAGCACAAAGGCGUUACGCAGAAUGUGAGGCAGUAAUGACCAUCACGAAUGCCAGACUGCUGGUGCAGGUCCCAGGCUGAAGCAACUGAUUAUUAAGGUGUGGCUAUGCUUGCUGUGUGGUGGGAACCCGGCAGCAGAGAGAAAGGGUUUCCAAGGAUAAAGGAAUGGGCAGGCAGGUCUACGAGAAGCCAAAUGCUUAGGCUUUACUCACUCAGAUGCCAGGUGAGUGUCCCCUUUCCUUGUGCCUCACCCCUGUGGCCCCCCACUCUGGACACAAUGAUUCUGUGAGAUAAUGCCAACCCACUCAUGCUACCUGCGAUGACCCAUGUGAUGAGAUGGCUGCUGUCCACUCUGGACACAGUGACCCUGUGAGAAAAUGCCAACCCGCUCAUGCCAUCUGCUAUGACCCACAUGACAAGACAGCCGCUACCAUUGCAUCAGGUUGCUGUGAAGAGUUGGUGAGAAGGUCACACCUCUGCAGACUGGGGAGAGCAGUCAUUCCUGUUACUAGUCACUUGGGGAACAGGUGUGUCUCAAAAUGAGAAGCAAUGUCCAAGAGGACUGGCCUAGGUAAGUGGGAGAGAAAUACUGCCUUGGCCUGGAUCCAGAAGGCCCAGUGUCUAGAACAAUGCUCCUCAUGCUAUGAAUGAAGGAAAGCACCCACCACUAGGGGCUGUUAGGGUUCAUGUUAGGGACCACUGAGCAUCAAAUACAGGAAAAUUGUACGAUGUGGAUCAUCAGCCCCUCCCCUCCAAGAGAAUCCCACCAAUUGUGAAAGGUUCUAAGUUUUGCUUUUACUGAAUAAGGCAGUAUUUCCGUAUACUAUCUCCACAUAUUCACAAUACCCAUCCUAUUACCCUGUAGUUUGCCUGUUGGACUAAUCUCAUCUAAACACAGGUCAUGGGGUCCAAUUACUCUCCAAGUUAUAUAUUUCAUGGACUCAUUUACCUACCAAAGUUAAUGUUCAGUGAGCAUGAGCCCAACAUUGCAUUAGGUACAGGAAGUCUAAGUAUAAAGAUGAUGGAGUCCACACACCCUCCAGUAGCACUCACAAUAACUAGCAAACAGCCUGGAGAUAGAACCUUACCUGAAGGGGGUAACUCCAUUGGUGGGAAUUUGGGGGAUUAUGUCACCCCUGGAGAGGGAAGACUUUUAGUUUGCAGUGAUGCUCUGGAGGAUGCUGAAAUCACAACCAAAAGCAGAUGACUUCUCUGCCCCAGCAUGAUGCCAGCCUCCUAGAUAAGACUCCAUGUUACAGGAAGAGAUGCAUGAGAGCUGGAACAAGUCAGUUUCCUUCAUGGAGGAAAGAGGAUGCUAAACCAGUAAGUAAUGAGUGCCAUCCGUCCUGGCACUGCAUAAUGGAAGGAUAAGAUUGUGCUCAAGAAUCUGAACCUGAAAGGUCAGACAGAUAUAGGUUCUGGUUGCAACUCUACUGCCUGGGCAAACCACUUACCCUAGCCAAGCCUCAGGUUUGCUCACCCAUAGGAGAGGUAACAUUCCUAGACCCUCCUAUGCUUGCUGCAGAGCAUAGGUUCUGAAGUGUGGCCAUCAGCAUCAGGAUCAUCAGGGAACUUGUUAGAAAUGCCCAUUUUCAGGGUCCAUCUCAAGUCUCCCGAAUGGGAAAUGCUGGGAGCGCAAAGCACAGUUGAUGCUGAUACUUUCAAGUUUGAAAAGUAUGGAUGUAGAAUUUAAAAGGCUGAUGUUAUUAGACACUUUGCAAAGUGUUAAUCGUGUAGGAAGCCCAUUAACAUCUUGGUUGUGUCUUGAGGCCCCGGAAAGUCACAUAGGAAAGGACUUGAAGGGAAGGAGCUAUAUUUUUGCCAGAGGUCAGAACCAGGGGGAAACUUCACAUGCCCUAGCAGCCUGCAUCACUACCCCCGGGUGACUAGCCAAAUGCAGGUGUCUGGGCCACAUAGGCUCAUGAAUAUAAAUUCAAAGGCACUGGACCUGAGAAUCUUCAUGCUCUUAUAUAGACAUCUUCAAAGUAAGUGUUCUCUGUUAUUUGUGGGGGGGGGGUAUUGUUUUUUGAUUUGUUUUGGUGAUUGCUUGCUUGUGUACUAACAUGCUCAUUUGGGCUCCCAGCUGUCUGUCUGUCUCCCAAUCCCUCCCUCCCUCGUUCCCCUUCUCUCUAUCCCCACAUACUAGCUUCCAUAUUGCUGCCCCUUUAUCUAGCCUUCUCUCUCUUCUAGGACAGUCUUCCAAGUUACUCUUUGGGGUAAUAGUUCCAAAAUAUAAAUGUAAGCAUUUCAUUUCCCAUUUAAAAGUGAAAACAAACAAAAAGCAACCUCAUUGCCCCCCCCCUCCAAGGGAAGUUUUAUAGGACAGAGUUCCAAGUCAUUCACCUGCCUACACAAGACCCUCCCCAGGCUGACUCCAGCCUCUGCUAAACCCACUUUUUUUCAAGCAUCAUAUCACCCCCAAGCUCCAACUGCUGUUCCACAAUCGGUGUUUCUUUUGCUCUGGCAAGAAAGACCUGCUAUUUCUCCCUAAGAGGAGACUCCCACCCUUCUCCAAACUCCUCUGUCACUGAGUCAACCACUGACGUGUUUAUUAUCAUCUUUGCUAAACCAGCAGCUCCAAGAAGGAACAGACGUGUCUACCUAUCAUCAACACCUUGAAACAUUUCACCAAAAUUAGCAUGAAGCAAUCUAGAAAUGUAGGAGCAGCCCUCUUCCUCACUCUCCAUGAAGCCAACUUGCUGGGGCAACCAGCACCAUUCCAUUCCUAAAAUACAUGAUCUGUAAAGUGAAUCCUGGCAGCUACAACAUACACACCGACAUUGACCAGUAAGACAUUGUCCAAUGCGACUGGUAUAUGGUCUAGUAAUUGAUACCAGCUUUCAAGAGCUUCUAGGUAGAUGGAGAUCUGAUACUGAAAAAUUACUCAAGGUUCUAUUCCCUGCCUACCUGCAUAGGUACACACAGCUUUGGCACACAGACAGCCUAGUGCCCAGGGAGCUAUAUUAAAAGAAAAGAUGAAAGCCAAAACCCAAGUUGAGUAGUUCUGCUUCUUUCCAUUCAUCCCAGUGAGCAGAGGACCUAAACUUCCAUCAUUUAUCCAUUGACAUUACUAUACAUUUUUAUAUAUUUUAUAGCUCUCAGCUGACUGGGUGGUUUUGGUCAUCUGACAGUACCAUUAAAAUUUAUGCCAACAGAGUUUCCGCUGUGGUACAGUGGGUCAAGGAUCCAGCAUUGCCACAGCAAUGGUAUAGGUUGUAGCUGAGGCCUGGAUUUGAUCCCUGGCCUGGGAACUUCCCUAUAUUGCUGGUGUGGCAAAAAAAAAAAAAAAAAAAAAAA